rnacentral:sRNA from 1 species
GCACUUCCCAGGUCCCCGGCGCUUCUGUCCCUGGGACGUGGGAUCCCCACGGACCUGGAAAUUCUCGCCGGUCUUCCUUCACCCAGAGCAAAUUGAGACAUCCCGGCCUCGCCCCUGAGCUCUACAAUCCUGUGUCCAGUUGUCUCCUCAGCUCUCUCUUGGGACAUCAAACAGGCAUCCCCACCUUCAGGUGUCCACAAGUGGCUUCCUAAACCCCCAAACACAUUCCUUUGCAGUCUGCACAUCUCAGAUGAGAGUGACUGUGUACUUCCGGAAACUUAGCCUAACUUGACAGCAUGCAUUUUAAAUAUGUGAAAUAAAUUACUUUAUUUGU